rnacentral:rRNA from 1 species
UACGUAGGGUGCGAGCGUUGUCCGGAAUUAUUGGGCGUAAAGGGCUCGUAGGCGGUUUGUCGCGUCUGCUGUGAAAAUCCGGGGCUCAACCCCGGACUUGCAGUGGGUACGGGCAGACUAGAGUGUGGUAGGGGAGACUGGAAUUCCUGGUGUAGCGGUGAAAUGCGCAGAUAUCAGGAGGAACACCGAUGGCGAAGGCAGGUCUCUGGGCCACUACUGACGCUGAGAAGCGAAAGCAUGGGGAGCGAACAGG